UACGUACUGUGCGAACGUUAUUCGGAAUUACUGGGCUUAAAGGGUGCGUAGGCGGCCAUUUAAGUAGGGUGUGAAAUGCCAGAGCUCAACUUUGGCAUUGCGCUCUAGACUGAAUGGCUUGAGUGAGAUAGGGGUGUGCGGAACUUCCAGUGGAGCGGUGAAAUGUGUUGAUAUUGGAAGGAACGCCGGUGGCGAAAGCGGCACACUGGGUCUUAACUGACGCUGAGGCACGAAAGCCAGGGGAGCGAACGGG
rnacentral:rRNA from 1 species